CCCUUAGAUGGUCUGGGCGGCACGCGCGCUACAAUGAUGCAUUCAAAAAGUCUUCUGACCUUAGAAGGUUGGGUAUUCUCCAAAGUGCAUCGUGAUGGGAAUAGUUUAUUGCAAUUUUUAAUCUUGAACGAGGAAUUCCUAGUAAGUACAGGCCAUCAACUUGUGUUGAUUACGUCCCUGCCCUUUGUACACACCGCCCGUCGCUCCUACUGAUUGAGUGUCUCGGUGAAUUCUUUGAUCUUCUGUCGAUUCAGUUCACUGAUCCGACGGUGGAAAGUUGAAUGAACUUCGUCACUUAGAGGAAGGAGAAGUCGUAACA
rnacentral:rRNA from 1 species